UACGGAGGGUGCAAGCGUUAAUCGGAAUUACUGGGCGUAAAGCGCACGCAGGUGGCUGAGUCAGUCGAUUGUGAAAGCCCUGGGCUUAACCUGGGAAUUGCAGUCGAUACUACUCAGCUAGAGUAUGGGAGAGGGUAGUGGAAUUCCCGGUGUAGCGGUGAAAUGCGUAGAGAUCGGAAGGAACACCUGAGGCGAAGGCGGCUCACUGGAUUGAACCUGACACUGAGGCACGAAAGCGUGGGGAGCAAACAGG
rnacentral:rRNA from 1 species